GACGAACCGUACGAACGUUAUUCGGAAUCACUGGGCUUAAAGGGUGCGUAGGCUGCGCGGAAAGUUGGGUGUGAAAUCCCUCGGCUCAACCGAGGAACUGCGCCCAAAACUGCCGUGCUCGAGGGAGGCAGAGGUGAGCGGAACUUAGGGUGGAGCGGUGAAAUGCGUUGAUAUCCUAAGGAACACCGGUGGCGAAAGCGGCUCACUGGGUCUCUUCUGACGCUGAGGCACGAAAGCUAGGGUAGCGAACGGG
rnacentral:rRNA from 1 species